rnacentral:snoRNA from 1 species
CCUCAACUCAUGAUGAAGCAUUUUUCGGAUGUAAAGUGUCCUACGGGACCGAUGUCCGAGAGCGCAAAAACCGUGUGGACACCUCCGUUGCCUUCCUUCUGAUCCAUCGC